ensembl:snRNA U12 U12 minor spliceosomal RNA
AUGCCUUAAACUUAUGAGUAAGGAAAAUAACGACCCGGGGUGACGCCCGGGUCCUCACUACACAUGUGAGAGGAAUUUUUGUGCGGGUACAGGUCGUCCCCGGGUGGCCCGCUUACUUCGCGGGAUGCCCGGGUGCUAUGAUCUGCCCG